AUUGUCCGGGCGGAGGGCCGCGGCCCGGCAGCGCGGAGGAGGGAGGGAACGUGGAGUUGGUGCCGGCCGCUGCGGCCGGAAGGCGGGAGGAGGGAUUUGGUAGACAGGGAGGAGGAGGAGGAGCCGGCGGCGAGGGCCAUUAUGGGAACCAGGAAAAUUUGCUCUCUCGGUCCUUUUUUGGGAGAAGUGAUUCGAGAGCUGUUUUCUCUAGAGAGAGAUG
rnacentral:lncRNA from 1 species